rnacentral:rRNA from 1 species
GACGAACGCCGGCGGCGUGCCUAAUACAUGCAAGUAGAACGCUGAAGAGAGGAGCUUGCUCUUCUUGGAUGAGUUGCGAACGGGUGAGUAACGCGUAGGUAACCUGCCUUGUAGCGGGGGAUAACUAUUGGAAACGAUAGCUAAUACCGCAUAACAAUGGAUGACACAUGUCUUUUAUUUUAAAGGGGCAAUUUCUCCACUACAAGAUGGACCUGCGUUGUAUUAGCUAGUAGGUUAGGUAAUGGCUCACCUAGGCGACGAUACAUAGCCGACCUGAGAGGGUGAUCGGCCAAAAUGGGACUGAGAAAAGGCCCAGAAGCCUAAGGGAGGCAGCAGGAGGGAAACGUCGGCAAAGGGGGCAAACCAGAACGAGCAACGCCGGGGGAGUGAAGAAGGUUUUCGGAUCGUAAAGCUCUGUUGUAAGUCAAGAAAGGGUGUGAGAGUGGAAAGUUCACACUGUGACGGUAGCUUACCAGAAAGAGACGGCUAACUACGUG